AUUUGAAUGCGAAGAUGGAGGCCAUGAUGACCAUUUUGGAAGGUGGAACCCAAGAUCAUGUGCAUUACAAAUGGAAAGAAGAUCUCAUAGAGAUGCUUGAAGAACUUGGCCAAUCUUACCGUGUUUUAUUCAUAUCAUAUAAUCAACUGAAGUCCAAAACAUCCAGCAAUGUGGUGUUAAUUGGAGCAUAGAAAGCUGUCUCCAACAAGUAAUAAAGCUAUGUCAAAGUGGCUCUUUUUCAAGCAUGCAAGAUCUUAUGGGGUUAUAGGUAGCAGCGCAGCUGGGCUCAAAUAUGAUUGCUUGCAACCUUAUUAACAGAAUAUUAGAAUCCCAAUCCAACGUUAUACCAAACCAUCAUACAGUAGAUGCCAUAUACUCCAUUCCUUCAUUCACAUAAUCCAUGACAGACCAAAAUCACCACACCUCAUGACCAAGGAAUCAAUUACCAAGGAGUGACAGCACACACUUAUAAUGAGCGGGGAAAUAUAUGUGGGGCGCGCCUUUAGGCUGGGAUUGCUCUCAUCUGAUCAAUUACUUGGAGGUCAGCAUCACUAUCUCUAAUUACUGCAUUAGUACUAAAUAAAAGAGGCAUUACUAUUGCUAUUUUAAGUUUUUGACAUCUUAGUGUUUAUUAGAAAAAGUUUGUAUGACAUACACCAGUAUGAGUACACUUUUUGAAAGCUAGAAAACAAAGACUCAAAGUUGGGCCUCAGGUACAUAAAGUGAUUGACAGUCUUAUGAGAAGUACAAGCACAAUGACAGUAACCGCAAGAUUGUUACUCCUGACCUGAAGGAAAUUAUCUUUCAGCACUUUAUAAAAAAGAUAAAGAAGGUCAUCACGGAUGAAGAGAUUUUGUGAUUGUAGGGGUGACAAGGUUAUGAAAAGCAUUCUUCUAUGGCAUAUUGCAACACAUAUUUAUGUUAUAACUGUCUCAUGUGAGGAGGAAACAGAUAGCGGAAGGGGUUUAAGUUUUAGAGAAUGAAGCAAAUUGUUAUCAGAGUACAUGUUGUAUCUUAUUGUUAUGAGAACAUCCAUGCUGCCUAAUGGGUUUGGUGGGUAUGUGUCUCCAUUGAUUGGACAUAUAUAUUUCAUACAUAGCGAGAAAGUAGUUUGCAUAAAACUACUCAAACUCCGCACAGAGAUUGAGAAAGUGAGUCAGGUGAAAGGCAAUAGGAGCAAGUAUGCUA